CGCGUAGACGGUUUUGUAAGUCAGAUGUGAAAUCCCUGGGCUCAACCUGGGAACUGCAUUUGAGACUGCAUGGCUAGAGUAUGGAAGAGGGAAGUGGAAUUUCCGGUGUAGCGGUGAAAUACGUAGAUAUCGGAAGGAACACCAGUGGCGAAAGCGACUUCCUGGUCCAAUACUGACGUUCAUGUGCGAAAGCGUGGGGAGCAAACAGGAUUAGAUACCCUGGUAGUCCACGCCAUAAACGAUGACAACUAGAUGUUGGGAGGGUCUGCCUCUCGGUGUCGCAGCUAACGCGUUAAGUUGUCCGCCUGGGGAGUACGGCCGCAAGGUUGAA
rnacentral:rRNA from 1 species